GCCAGACUCCUACGGGAGGCAGCAGUGAGGAAUAUUGGUCAAUGGGCUAAGGCCUGAACCAGCCAAGUCGCGUGAGGGAUGACGGUCCUAUGGAUUGUAAACCUCUUUUGUCAGGGAGCAAAGGGCGCCACGUGUGGCGCUUUGCGAGUACCUGAAGAAAAAGCAUCGGCUAACUCCGUGCCAGCAGCCGCGGUAAUACGGAGGAUGCGAGCGUUAUCCGGAUUUAUUGGGUUUAAAGGGUGCGCAGGCGGAAUGUCAAGUCAGCGGUAAAAUUUCGGGGCUCAACCCCGUCGUGCCGUUGAAACUGGCGUUCUUGAGUGAGCGAGAAGUAUGCGGAAUGCGUGGUGUAGCGGUGAAAUGCAUAGAUAUCACGCAGAACUCCGAUUGCGAAGGCAGCAUACCGGCGCUCAACUGACGCUCAUGCACGAAAGCGUGGGUAUCGAACAGGAUUAGAUACCCUCGUAGU
rnacentral:rRNA from 1 species